AACGAACGCUGGCGGCAUGCCUAACACAUGCAAGUCGAACGAGACCUUCGGGUCUAGUGGCGCACGGGUGCGUAACGCGUGGGAACCUGCCCUUAGGUUCGGAAUAACUCCCCGAAAGGGGUGCUAAUACCGGAUAAUGUCUUCGGACCAAAGAUUUAUCGCCUUUGGAUGGGCCCGCGUUGGAUUAGCUAGUUGGUAGGGUAAAAGCCUACCAAGGCGACGAUCCAUAGCUGGUCUGAGAGGAUGAGCAGCCACACUGGGACUGAGACACGGCCCAGACUCCUACGGGAGGCAGCAGUGGGGAAUAUUGGACUAUGGGCGAAAGCCUGAUCCAGCAAUGCCGCGUGAGUGAUGAAGGCCUUAGGGUUGUAAAGCUCUUUUACCCGGGAUGAUAAUGACAGUACCGGGAGAAUAAGCUCCGGCUAACUCCGUG
rnacentral:rRNA from 1 species